AACGAACGCUGACGGCGUGCUUAACACAUGCAAGUCGAACGAGAAAAUCCUAGCUUGCUAGGGUGAGUAAAGUGGCGCACGGGUGAGUAACACGUGAGUAAUCUGCCCUUAAGUCAGGGAUAACUCCGCGAAAGCGGGGCUAAUACCCGAUAUGCUCACGACUACUGCGGUAGUUGUGAGAAAAGGUGGCCUCUGGCAUAAGCUAUCGCUUAAGGAUGAGCUCGCGGACCAUUAGCUAGUUGGUAGGGUAAUGGCCUACCAAGGCUAUGAUGGUUAGCUGGCCUGAGAGGGUGGCCAGCCACACUGGAACUGAGAUACGGUCCAGACUCCUACGGGAGGCUG
rnacentral:rRNA from 1 species